UACGUAGGGACCAAGCGUUGUUCGGAUUUACUGGGCGUAAAGGGCGCGUAGGCGGCCCCACAAGUCACUUGUGAAAUCUCCGGGCUUAACUCGGAACGGCCAAGUGAAACUGUGGAGCUAGAGUGUGGAAGGGGCAAUCGGAAUUCUUGGUGUAGCGGUGAAAUGCGUAGAUAUCAAGAGGAACACCUGAGGUGAAGACGGGUUGCUGGGCCAACACUGACGCUGAGGCGCGAAAGCCAGGGGAGCAAAC
rnacentral:rRNA from 1 species